AUGAUAAUAGAAAUUUCAUUGUUGAAAGGAACUGGAAUUAAUUGGUGUGCGGAUGUCGAGACGACUGAAGCUUCAACACUCAAAUUUGGUCUUGCCCUUGCGCAAAGGGUAGGAUGCAACCGACUCGUUAUUAGUUCUGAUAAUAUGGAGGCCAUUGACACCAUGAAGAAUGAAGGACACACUGCGGGUGCGGCGGCGGCAGUUUUCGACAUGCUUAAUCAUUUUGCGUGUGACUUUCCUAUUUGUAGGUUUGAACAUUGUAAUAGAAAAAAUAAAGUUGCUCAUGAGCUUACUAGGUUGGCUAGAUUUUCUUUAACAGUCGACUGGUUUGAGGAAUUGAAAUUGUACCCUUUCUCAUAA
rnacentral:rRNA from 1 species